rnacentral:rRNA from 1 species
UACGUAGGGUGCGAGCGUUGUCCGGAAUUAUUGGGCGUAAAGAGCUCGUAGGCGGUGUGUCACGUCGGCCGUGAAAACCUGCAGCUUAACUGUGGGCGUGCGGUCGAUACGGGCAUCACUGGAGUUCGGCAGGGGAGACUGGAAUUCCUGGUGUAGCGGUGAAAUGCGCAGAUACCAGGAGGAACACCGGUGGCGAAGGCGGGUCUCUGGGCCGAUACUGACGCUGAGGAGCGAAAGCGUGGGGAGCGAACAGG